UGGGGAAUAUUGGACAAUGGGGGCAACCCUGAUCCAGCAAUGCCGCGUGUGUGAAGAAGGUCUUCGGAUUGUAAAGCACUUUCGACGGGGACGAUGAUGACGGUACCCGUAGAAGAAGCCCCGGCUAACUUCGUGCCAGCAGCCGCGGUAAUACGAAGGGGGCUAGCGUUGCUCGGAAUGACUGGGCGUAAAGGGCGUGUAGGCGGUUUACACAGUCAGAUGUGAAAUCCCCGGGCUUAACCUGGGAGCUGCAUUUGAUACGUGUAGACUAGAGUGUGAGAGAGGGGUUGUGGAAUUCCCAGUGUAGAGGUG
rnacentral:rRNA from 1 species